AGAGUUUGAUCCUGGCUCAGGAUGAACGCUGGCGGCGUGCUUAACACAUGCAAGUCGAACGAACCUUCGGGUUAGUGGCGGACGGGUGAGUAACGCGUGAGAAUCUGCCCUCAGGAGGGGGAUAACGGCUGGAAACGGCCGCUAAUACCCCAUAUGCCGAGAGGUGAAAUGAAUUUCGCCUGAGGAUGAGCUCGCGUCUGAUUAGCUAGUUGGUGUGGUAAAGGCUCACAAAGGCAUCGAUCAGUAGCUGGUCUGAGAGGAUGAUCAGCCACACUGGGACUGAGACACGGCCCAGACUCCUACGGGAGGCAGCAGUGGGGAAUUUUCCGCAAUGGGCGCAAGCCUGACGGAGCAACGCCGCGUGAGGGAUGAAGGCCUUUGGGCUGUAAACCUCUUUUAUCAAGGAAGAAGAUCUGACGGUACCUGAUGAAUAAGCCACGGCUAAUUCCGUGCCAGCAGCCGCGGUAAUACGGGAGUGGCAAGCGUUAUCCGGAAUUAUUGGGCGUAAAGCGUCCGCAGGCGGUCUUGAAAGUCUGUUGUUAAAGCGUGGAGCUCAACUCCAUUUCAGCAAUGGAAACUAGAAGACUAGAGUGUGGUAGGGGCAGAGGGAAUUCCCGGUGUAGCGGUGAAAUGCGUAGAUAUCGGGAAGAACACCAGUGGCGAAGGCGCUCUGCUGGGCCAUAACUGACGCUCAUGGACGAAAGCCAGGGGAGCGAAAGGGAUUAGAUACCCCUGUAGUCCUGGCCGUAAACGAUGAACACUAGGUGUCGGGGGAAUCGACCCCCUCGGUGUCGUAGCCAACGCGUUAAGUGUUCCGCCUGGGGAGUACGCACGCAAGUGUGAAACUCAAAGGAAUUGACGGGGGCCCGCACAAGCGGUGGAGUAUGUGGUUUAAUUCGAUGCAACGCGAAGAACCUUACCAGGGUUUGACAUCCUGCGAAUCCCUUGGAAACUUGGGAGUGCCUUCGGGAGCGCAGUGACAGGUGGUGCAUGGCUGUUGUCAGCUCGUGUCGUGAGAUGUUGGGUUAAGUCCCGCAACGAGCGCAACCCACGUCUUUAGUUGCCAGCAUUAAGUUGGGCACUCUAGAGAGACUGCUGGUGAUAAACCGGAGGAAGGUGUGGAUGACGUCAAGUCAUCAUGCCCCUUACAUCCUGGGCUACACACGUACUACAAUGCUACGGACAAAGGGCAGCAAACUCGCGAGAGCUAGCAAAUCCCAUAAACCGUGGCUCAGUUCAGAUCGUAGGCUGCAACUCGCCUACGUGAAGGAGGAAUCGCUAGUAAUCGCAGGUCAGCAUACUGCGGUGAAUACGUUCCC
rnacentral:rRNA from 1 species